GACGGAGGAUGCAAGCGUUAUCCGGAAUGAUUGGGCGUAAAGCGUCCGCAGGUGGCUGUUCAAGUCUGCUGUGAAAGACCGGGGCUUAACUUCGGAAAGGCAGUGGAAACUGAACAGCUAGAGUAUGGUAGGGGCAGAGGGAAUUCCUGGUGUAGCGGUGAAAUGCGUAGGGAUCAGGAAGAACAUCGGUGGCGAAGGCGCUCUGCUGGACCAUAACUGACACUCAGGGACGAAAGCUAGGGGAGCGAAUGGG
rnacentral:rRNA from 1 species